CCUACGGGAGGCAGCAGUGAGGAAUAUUGGUCAAUGGACGAGAGUCUGAACCAGCCAAGUAGCGUGAAGGAUGAAGGUCCUACGGAUUGUAAACUUCUUUUAUACGGGAAUAAAGUGAGCCACGUGUGGCUUUUUGUAUGUACCGUAUGAAUAAGGAUCGGCUAACUCCGUGCCAGCAGCCGCGGUAAUACGGAGGAUCCGAGCGUUAUCCGGAUUUAUUGGGUUUAAAGGGAGCGCAGACGGGUCGUUAAGUCAGCUGUGAAAGUUUGGGGCUCAACCUUAAAAUUGCAGUUGAUACUGGCGUCCUUGAGUGCGGUUGAGGUGUGCGGAAUUCGUGGUGUAGCGGUGAAAUGCUUAGAUAUCACGAAGAACUCCGAUUGCGAAGGCAGCACACUAAGCCGUAACUGACGUUCAUGCUCGAAAG
rnacentral:rRNA from 1 species